rnacentral:sRNA from 1 species
AUGGACGCAUUACAGGCAAUUAUAGGUUGAACUCAUAGCAGAAGACCGUGUGUUUGUCACAUAGCCUAAUUGGAUUAUGCAUCCCUGGUUGAUACGGCAGUCGGAGGUUCCGGAUCUCGGACGAGAAAAUGUUUGGAUGAAGCCAUCGGUGUUGCUGACGUUGACUUCUUUCAUGGAUCAAUGAGCGAUAUGACCAAC